rnacentral:rRNA from 1 species
CCUACGGGAGGCAGCAGUAGGGAAUAUUGCUCAAUGGGGGAAACCCUGAAGCAGCAACGCCGCGUGGAGGAUGAAGGUUUUCGGAUUGUAAACUCCUUUUGUUAGAGAAGAUAAUGACGGUAUCUAACGAAUAAGCACCGGCUAACUCCGUGCCAGCAGCCGCGGUAAUACGGAGGGUGCAAGCGUUACUCGGAAUCACUGGGCGUAAAGAGCGCGUAGGCGGGAUAGCAAGUCAGAUGUGAAAUCCUAGGGCUUAACCAUAGAACUGCAUUUGAAAAUGUUAUUCUAGAGUAUGGGAGAGGUAGGUGGAAUUCUUGGUGUAGGGGUAAAAUCCGUAGAGAUCAAGAGGAAUACUCAUUGCGAAGGCGACCUGCUAGAACAUAACUGACGCUGAUGCGCGAAAGCGUGGGGAGCAAACAGGAUUAGAUACCCUUGUAGUC